GGUUCCAAAGUGUAGUGGUUAUCACGUCUGCUUUACAUGCAGAAGGUCCUGGGUUCAAGCCCUAGUGGGGGCCA